AGCAGCCGCGGUAAUUCCAGCUCCAAUAGCGUAUAUUAAAGUUGUUGCAGUUAAAAAGCUCGUAGUUGAAUUUCGGGGUCAGUAGGUUGGUCGUGCCACUGGUAUGUACUGGCCUCACUGAUUCCUCCUUCCUGAUGAACCGUAAUGCCAUUAAUUUGGUGUUGCGGGGAAUCUGGACUGUUACUUUGAAAAAAUUAGAGUGUUUAAAGCAGGCUAACGCUUGAAUACAUUAGCAUGGAAUAAUGGAAUAGGACGUUCGAUCCUAUUUUGUUGGUUUCUAGGAUUGACGUAAUGAUUAAUAGGGAUAGUUGGGGGCAUUAGUAUUCAAUUGUCAGAGGUGAAAUUCUUGGAUUUAUUGAAGACUAACUACUGCGAAAGCAUUUGCCAAGGAUGUUUUCAUUAAUCAAGAACGAAAGUUAGGGGAUCGAAGACGAUCAGAUACCGUCGUAGUCUUAACCAUAAACUAUGCCGACUAGGGAUCGGAUGAUGUUAAUUUUUAAUGUAUUCAUCCGGCGCCUUA
rnacentral:rRNA from 1 species